rnacentral:rRNA from 1 species
UCGGUCUCAGUUCAGAUUGCAGGCUGCAACUCGCCUGCAUGAAGUUGGAAUUGCUAGUAAUCGCGAAUCAGAAUGUCGCGGUGAAUACGUUCCCGGGCCUUGUACACACCGCCCGUCACACCAUGAGAGUCGAUAACACCCGAAGCCUGUGAGCUAACCGUAAGGAGGCAGCAGUCGAAGGUGGGGUUGAUGAUUGGGGUGAAGUCGUAACAAGGUAAC